AGCGUGGGGAGCAAAUAGGAUUAGAUACCCUAGUAGUCCACGCCGUAAACGAUGGGGGCCAGGGCGCGGGGUCGACCCGCGUCCGAAGCAAACGCAUUAAGCCCCCCGCCUGGGUACUACGUUCGCAAGAAUAAAACUUAAAGGAAUUGGCGGGUGCCCGCACAAGCAGUGGAGCAUGCGGUUCAAUUCGUGGCUACACGUAGAACCUUACCAGGGUUUGACAUGCCGGCAAAGGCCCCGGAGACGGGGAGAUAGCUAUGCCGGACAAAGGUGGUGCAUGGCUGUCGUCAGCUCGUGUCGUGAGAUGUUAGGUCAAGUCCUCCAACGAGCGCGACCCCCGCCGCCAGUUGCCAUCAUCGAGUUGGGCACUCUGGCGGGACCGCCGGCGACAAGCCGGAGGAAGGCGGGGAUGACGUCAAGUCAUCAUGCCCCUUAUGCCCUGGGCCACACGCGUGCUACAAUGGCCGGCACAGUGGGAAGCGACGCCGCGAGGCGGAGCGGAUCCCAAAAGCCGGUCCCAGUACGGACCGGGGGCUGCAACCCGCCCCCGCGAAGCUGGAAUUGCUAGUAAUCGCGGAUCAGCCAAGCCGCGGUGAAUGCGUUCUCGGGCAUUGCACACACUGCCCGUCACACCAUGAAAGCCUGCAACGCUCUAAGUCGCCAGCCCGACCCGCGAGGGGGGGCGGCGCCCAAGGCGGGGCCGGUGAUUGGGGUUAAGUCGAAACAAGGUAUCCCUACGAGAACGUGGGGAUG
rnacentral:rRNA from 1 species